rnacentral:misc_RNA from 1 species
AAGCAUUUCUGCAAAUUGGGAUACAUUAAUAUUACAACAUAAAUAUUUAUUUAUUGGAGGGAAAUAAAAUUUCAAACCCCAUCAACCCUGGACCGUCCAUGUCAUAUCGCCCUGAAAAAUCCAGUGGCAGACCUCAAUUUUCCCUGGUCCAGAUCCGAGUGCCAUAAAGGCUCCAUGUCCAGCACUCCAAUCCGACGUGUCAACAUGGCAGAUGGCAACUCCAUGAUUAAUCUUCUCCUUUGUAUUGGCGGACAGGAUCUCCACCUCAUACAGCCGCACCUUCGGCACCGAGUGACAGUAGAAGACGAGAUACGGGAACAAGCUCUGGUGGCACGACACCGCCCUCGUAAUCUUACCGCCAUCAAUCCCUCUCACAUCCCCAACUUCUAUGUUCUCCCCCGAGCCCCGGGCGCUCUGUGUGCUCCGCACCACCGCGUUGUCACCCAACACUGACUGGGCGAAGUCGAUCACGUCCUCCACCGACAUGGCGCAUUUCUUCGUUUCUCCCCUGCUGGGAGCUCUCUGGCAUUCCGCCAUUGUAUCCCCCACCGCCUUCCCCAUUGCCGUUCCUGCCGGUAUCUUCAACACACGCCUCACCACAUCAGCGGAGGAUGAGAUUCGACUAGAGAUUGACCGCGGCAGGAACGACCUCACGGGCAUUUUGUCCCGGAUGUCCGGCAUUGGCAUCACCGUCCCCUUCUUCAGGUUGCUUUCCCGAAAGAACUUCCCUGGCUCCACCAACCAUCUGUUCAUUUUGCUCACUUUAUGCUUCCCGGCUGUGGACGGAAUCAGAGAGCUGUUCUUGUAUGAGUUGAAGCCGACACCAGACUUCGCGUAUUGCUUGAAGGUUGUGUUGUCGCCAGAGUAGCUCUUGAAGGAGACGUUCGGGUUGAUGGCGCCUAUGCCGUAGCCUUUGAAGCUGUCGCUGCCAGGGUUGAUGGAGUUGCCGUAGCCAGUGAAGCCGGCGGAGCCGGUACCGCCUUUCGCGUAGCUCUCGAAGCUGUCGUCGCCAACGUUGGCUUGAUUGCGAUAGCUUGUGAAUGUGUCGAUGCCAGCAUUGCCGUUCUUGUCGUAGUUACUGAAGUUAAUUUCGUCCACGUUGCUGUUGUUGCCGUAGAGCGUGAAGCUGUCAACUGCGACGUUACCAUUCUUGCCGUAGUUACUGAAGUUAAUGUCCUCCACGUUGCCGUUGUUGCCGUAGAGCUUGAAGCUGUCAACUGCGACGUUACCAUUCUUGCCGUAGUUACUGAAGUUAAUGUCCUCCACGUUGCCGUUGUUGCCGUAGAGCU